rnacentral:lncRNA from 1 species
GUCUUAUGAAAUAUUUUUGAAAGUUAAGGUUACAUAGUUACCAAAGCAGGUAACCAGUAAAUAACAGUGUAAAAAUUGGGUUGUUUACUUCCGGUGAUGGUUACUUUCUUAUAUGCAAUGAAAUGUAGUGUGAAAUUUUCACUGUAGCACUGGAAAGGAUUAAACUUUAUUCAUGCAAAGUAUUUCUUUGGUUGAAAUAAAGGUAAAUACUGUACAUUUUUUUUUUAAAUUGCCAAUUUAACAAAGACU